AAGGGAGGUUGAAAGUCAGUCUGGUUUCGCAGCUGUUUUGGGUAAAAACUGACUUUCCUAGCAGCCUGAGAAACUCGAUGGGACUCUCACAAUAUACUCAUUGUUCAGCUGGAAACCCCAUGAAGUUGUAACCUGAACCUCUUGUCCUGAGGCCAUUUGAUGGCCUUCUUCAUCCAAUGGUAUCUGUGGACCCCAGUGGAGAGGUAGGUAAAGAGUUAUUAAGGCAUUUGAAAUUGCUUUUAGCACACUGCAAAGUGGUUGGGCCAUUUCAGGCCAUGGUGGGGUGGCAGAAUGCCCGACUGCCUACGUCAAGCAGUGUUUAUAAAUUAGAAAUUA
rnacentral:lncRNA from 1 species